GAUGAGCGCUGGCGGCGUGCCUAAUACAUGCAAGUCGAGCGAACGGACGAGAAGCUUGCUUCUCUGAUGUUAGCGGCGGACGGGUGAGUAACACGUGGAUAACCUACCUAUAAGACUGGGAUAACUUCGGGAAACCGUAGCUAAUACCGGAUAAUAUUUUGAACCGCAUGGUUCAAAAGUGAAAGACGGUCUUGCUGUCACUUAUAGAUGGAUCCGCGCUGCAUUAGCUAGUUGGUAAGGUAACGGCUUACCAAGGCAACGAUGCAUAGCCGACCUGAGAGGGUGAUCGGCCACACUGGAACUGAGACACGGUCCAGACUCCUACGGGAGGCAGCAGUAGGGAAUCUUCCGCAAUGGGCGAAAGCCUGACGGAGCAACGCCGCGUGAGUGAUGAAGGUCCUCGGAUCGUAAAACUCUGUUAUUAGGGAAGAACAUAUGUGUAAGUAACUGUGCACAUCUUGACGGUACCUAAUCAGAAAGCCACGGCUAACUACGUG
rnacentral:rRNA from 1 species